GACGAACGCUGGCGGCGCGCUUAACACAUGCAAGUCGAGCGAGAACCAGGGCUUCGGCCCUGGGGACAGCGGCGAACGGGUGAGUAACACGUGGAUAACCUGCCCUCGGCACCGGGAUAGCCCGGGGAAACCCGGAUUAAUACCGGAUGGCCCUUCCGGCUCACGAGCCGGUCGGAAAAGGUAGCUUUCGCAUCCGGCCGAGGAUGGGUCGGCGGCGGAUUAGCUUGUUGGUGGGGUAACGGCCCACCAAGGCUCCGAUCCGUAGCUGGUCUGAGAGGACGAUCAGCCACACUGGGACUGAGACACGGCCCAGACUCCUACGGGAGGCAGCAGUGGGGAAUCUUGCGCAAUGGGCGAAAGCCUGACGCAGCGACGCCGCGUGAGGGAGGAAGGCCUUCGGGUUGUAAACCUCUUUCAGGAGGGACGAAGCUACUCGGGUGAAUAGCCCAGAGGGUGACGGUACCUCCAGAAGAAGCCCCGGCUAACUACGUGCCAGCCGCCGCGGUAA
rnacentral:rRNA from 1 species